rnacentral:tRNA from 1 species
UCCGUUGUGGUCUAGUGGUUAGGAUUUAUGGCUCUCACCCAUAAAGCCGGGGUUCGAUUCCCCGCAACGGAA